UGUGGUCUCGGAAGUAUUCUUUAUGUAGUAUGUCAAAACUGUCCUUACAAAAACCCUAUAUUCACUGGGAAAAGACAUCGUCUAGCAGAAAAUAAGCAGAAGGGGGUGAAAGUUUGGGACAUUAGUACUAAAGUUAAAACUUAGUAUUGUACGGUAAGACUAUAUAUCCCAUAUUUUGAAAAUUAUCACACCAGUCGGAACAAGUAAAAAUAUAUUCAAAAAAGGGAAAAGAAAAUGAACCACAUAAACUAAUACUGGUCAUAAAUUCGCCGCUGCUGUCAGUCAGUCAAAGAUAUGGAACUGAAUUAUAAUGCACUUAAAUUAAUUAACCUUGUUGGAACAAUAGUUCAAUAUUCAUACACAGUUAUUAGACUUAAACAAAUUAAAAAUAAACAAAAAUGAUGUUUCAUGAUCAUUAAUCCAUCGCUACAUUUUGUAUUCUAACGUUGUUUUUUUGUAAUGGUGUUUUCUUUCACGUCCGCAAUUUCGAUGUUAAAAAUAGAAC
rnacentral:lncRNA from 1 species